rnacentral:rRNA from 1 species
CGCGGGAUUAGAGUUUGAUCAUGGCUCAGAUUGAACGCUGGCGGCAGGCCUAACACAUGCAAGUAGAGCGGAAACGACAACAUUGAUUCUUCGGAUGAUUUAUUGGGCGUCGAGCGGCGGACGGGUGAGUAAUGCCUGGGAAAUUGCCCUGAUGUGGGGGAUAACCAUUGGAAACGAUGGCUAAUACCGCAUAAUGCCUUCGGGCCAAAGAGGGGGACCUUCGGGCCUCUCGCGUCAGGAUAUGCCCAGGUGGGAUUAGCUAGUUGGUGAGGUAAUGGCUCACCAAGGCGACGAUCCCUAGCUGGUCUGAGAGGAUGAUCAGCCACACUGGAACUGAGACACGGUCCAGACUCCUACGGGAGGCAGCAGUGGGGAAUAUUGCACAAUGGGCGCAAGCCUGAUGCAGCCAUGCCGCGUGUAUGAAGAAGGCCUUCGGGUUGUAAAGUACUUUCAGUCGUGAGGAAGGUUCAUACGUUAAUAGCGUAUGGAUUUGACGUUAGCGACAGAAGAAGCACCGGCUAACUCCGUGCCAGCAGCCGCGGUAAUACGGAGGGUGCGAGCGUUAAUCGGAAUUACUGGGCGUAAAGCGCAUGCAGGUGGUUCGUUAAGUCAGAUGUGAAAGCCCGAGGCUCAACCUCGGAACUGCAUUUGAAACUGGCGGACUAGAGUACUGUAGAGGGGGGUAGAAUUUCA